CAUGAUCAAGAUGUGUAUUUGUGAGCCUCACAGCCUCAAGUUGAGCACUCUACCAGAGUUACCUACUAUGUUCUCUACAUUGAAUUAAGAAACUUAACUGGACCAUAUACAAAUAAACUGUCAUUGGUUUGGCUUCCAUGAAGGUCAAGCAUCAGCUCCCCUCUUUUUACUACUACGUUGAUGAGAUCAGCUGCGUGACCGAGAUCUACUCCUGCUUCGCCUCUUGUGAGAAUCUCGGCUCUGAGAUCGCCGUGACCUCUGUGGUGACCUGCAAGAGUAAAUGAUAGUUUUCACAAUGCCCAAUACUCUAGUGAUUCAUUAUGAAUCACUAAAGAAUAUCCUUUUGUGGAAUGCUGAGCAUGACUUUUUUUUGUUUUCACAAUGUCAAAUACUCUAGUGAUUCAUUAUGAAUUACUAAAGAAUAUCCUUUUAUGUGGAAUGCUGAACAUGACUUUUUUUUUUUUUUUUUUUUUUUUUUGAUAAUGAGGUGGAUGGCUUACAUUUUUUUCUGAAAUGCAACGUUAUUGUAUACUGCCAGAAUUUUUAAUUCUUCAUGUUCUUUUCAGACCAUGCAAAGUGCAUAGAUACAAUUUUUUAUAUUUUUAAAAUUAUCUAUUGUCACCAUUCAUUUAAGGUAAUCAUCAUGCCUUAUAAAAUAGCUUAGUUUUUUUUUUUUUUUUGUUGUUGUUGUUGGCUACAUAUGUCAAAGUCAAAACUUGAAUAUCAAGUUAACACAUAUCCAUGAAUACUUCUUUAAUUAUACCAGUAGUUACCAGUAAAGAUCAAAGUACAUUUCCCACAAACAGAUUUGCUGAGGCAAGGAACACACUGGAUGGAGAAGUUAAUGUUUUAUGUUAACUCAUGCAGGAAUUUCUCCCAAUCUUAGAGGUUAAUUAUGGUGUAUAACAUACACAUGUAUUAAACAUAUAAUAUUGUUUACUGUGAUGAGCCACUGUUACGUUACGUAUAGAGUAAACAACCGGUAUGAUUAAAGAGCUAUGUUAAUGUUUUUACUUGUAUUGACUCCUUCCAUUGUAAAGCCAUACUGUAGUUAUUAACAAAUUCUAUGUAAAGGGAUAAAGCAUUCAAUCUAGCUUUAUCUGGACCUACCACAACUUCCCACUGCCAGACAAAAAUUUGUCAACAAAUUCUGGCAGCCUGUUCCCUUUGUUACAAUUCCUCACUAAAGAGCAGCAGAAAAUAUAUAGUUUUGUUUAUAAAAAAUAUUUAUUUCUAAUCUUUACUAGUAAUCACAGGGAAUAUUUAAAAAUAAGUAUAUCUAUUAAAACAUGUACAGAUGUGCAAUGGUCAGCAGCUGGAACAGAUAUAUUGUCUUUAUAAUGAAAAUUUGUCUGUGUGAAUACUUGCAAUUAAGGACUGCAAACAAUCACACUACAAAUACAGUGUGUGUGUGUGUGUGUAAUAUAUAUAUAUAUAUAUAUAUAUAUAUAUAUAUAUAUAUAUAUAUAUAUAUAUAUAUAUAUAUAUAUAUAUAUAUAUAUAUAUAUAUAUAUGGGGAAAAAUUGCUGCAUGUCCUUACCUCCGUGGAGAUUUCCCUGGAGACCUUUUAGGAGAUCUCUUGAUUGAUGACCUUGGUGAUCGCCGCGGAGAUCUUCUGGGUGAUCUCCUUGGCGAUCUACUCCUCCUGCGUGAUCUUGACCGAGACCUUGACUUGCGUGCAUUCUUCUCCCUCUCCCUCUCUCUCUCUUUUUCCUUCUCUCGCUCACGCUCCCUUUCUCGCUCCUUUCUACGUUCUGCUCUGACUCUCUCCCAUUCCACCUGUUCUUUUUCUCUUGCUGCUUUCAUUUCUGCUUGUCUGCGUUCUAUUUCUGCCAUCUUUUGACGACGCAGAGCCUCCUUCUCCAUAAUCUGUAGAUGUUACAUAAUUUAUCUACUAGGCUAAAGACCCAACAAGAGCUGACAGUUUAAGGGUGUGCACACAUGCAUACAUAUCUGACACACACCAUGCUCACGCUAACUAACAAGUACACACACAUUCUCAAUUAACUUUAAAACAUUUCCCAAGAAUAUAAAUAUAAAAUACAGUCAGUAUUUUUCCCUUAGCUUUCAUUUCAAGCCAUGUAGCACAACUAAACUGUUCUUUCCCAUUCCUUUCUAAAGCUUCACUUCAUUUACAAAAUGUGAUCCUCUAUACUUGAAAUACAAUAUCUUCCAUCAA